AGAGUUUGAUCAUGGCUCAGAACGAACGCUGGCGGCAUGCCUAACACAUGCAAGUCGAACGGACGGUGGCAACACCGUUAGUGGCGAACGGGUGAGUAACGCGUGGGAACCUGCCCAAUAGUGUGGGAUAACUACGGGAAACUGUAGCUAAUACCGCAUGUGUCCUGAGGGACAAAGGAGCAAUCCGCUAUUGGAGGGGCCCGCGUCGGAUUAGCUAGUUGGUGGGGUAACGGCCUACCAAGGCGACGAUCCGUAGCUGGUCUGAGAGGAUGGCCAGCCACACUGGGACUGAGACACGGCCCAGACUCCUACGGGAGGCAGCAGUGGGGAAUAUUGGACAAUGGGGGAAACCCUGAUCCAGCAAUGCCGCGUGGGUGAUGAAGGCCUUCGGGUUGUAAAGCCCUUUUGGCGGGGACGAUGAUGACGGUACCCGCAGAAUAGCCC
rnacentral:rRNA from 1 species